ACUCUACACUGCUUGUGUUUUCUUCCCAUCUUCCGAUCCCUCUACUGACCUCUCUGGCCACUUUUUGUCAUUACAGGUAAAAAUAUAUAUAUAUACAAUCAAUAAACUUUUACGCUGUGACACUUCGGGCCAAAGGUCUUGCUACGCUGUGAUUGAUAUUAGAUGCCAGUCCUCACUCCUCUCCUUACCAUCUGAGGCUUGCCAUGCGUCCCGAUUGCGAUGUCCUUUUAAGGGGUGUGCUGAGCCGUUGAAACUUCUCGGGUGAAAAGUUGUCUGUUACACUUUCUGACUCCACACAUACUUC